UGGGGAAUAUUGGACAAUGGGCGAAAGCCUGAUCCAGCAACGCCGCGUGAGGGAUGACGGCCUUCGGGUUGUAAACCUCUUUCAGCAGGGACGAAGCGCAAGUGACGGUACCUGCAGAAGAAGCACCGGCCAACUACGUGCCAGCAGCCGCGGUAAUACGUAGGGUGCGAGCGUUGUCCGGAAUUAUUGGGCGUAAAGGGCUCGUAGGCGGUCUGUUGCGUCGGGAGUGAAAACUCAGGGCUUAACCCUGAGCCUGCUUCCGAUACGGGCAGACUAGAGGUAUGCAGGGGAGAACGGAAUUCCUGGUGUAGCGGUGAAAUGCGCAGAUAUCAGGAGGAACACCGGUGGCGAAGGCGGUUCUCUGGGCAUUACCUGACGCUGAGGAGCGAAAGUGUGGGGAGCGAACAGG
rnacentral:rRNA from 1 species